GUUCUUUCUCCUCAGGCUCCAGAUGUGAGCUGUGAGGGGCAGAAGGAAGGUUGUUAAGAGGCAAGUCCGGUGCAGCAGGAACAGCACUGCAUUCUCAGGAAAGCAGCAAGUGGGCAGAUGGCAAGAUCCUGGAAGUGUAAAACAGCUACAAGAAACAAGAUGAUUCAGACAGAAGGAGUAUGAAUAAAUCCUGGCUGGUCAUCUCAUUAUUAAUCAAGAUACCACCACCCACCCUCUACCGCCUUAGCUGGGCUGGCGCAGGCUUGAAAAAAACGUACCAUCACCCGUGUGAUGUUUCUGAAGAAAGCCGGAGAAGCAGCAACAGUUGGUGCCUUUGAUUAGCAGAACAUUUCAAUCCCCACCCCAUCUUUUCUCCAAAUAGUCGUUCACAAUGCGAGUGCUCAGCCCCACUGUUUGCUCGGUUCAAUAGAUCUGGGGGCAAGGGUUAUGCCUUCCUGUUACCAUGGGGCUGGCAGAGAGAACUGGAGGCCAGUGAUCUUAGUCUGAGCUUCAGGAUCAUGGCUAGCUCCCUACAACUGUCCCCAGAUGUUCCCAAUUCAACCUGCAGUGCAGAUUACGUAAUCAUCUCUUCACGACGCAUGAGCAUAGGGGGAACUCUGGGC
rnacentral:lncRNA from 1 species